rnacentral:rRNA from 1 species
AACGAACGCUGGCGGCAGGCCUAACACCUGCAAGUCGAGCGAAGCCUUCGGGCUUAGCGGCGGACGGGUGAGUAACGCGUGGGAACGUGCCCUUUGCUACGGAAUAGCCCCGGGAAACUGGGAGUAAUACCGGAUUUGCCCGUCGGGGGACAGAUUUAUCGGCAAAGGAUCGGCCCGCGUUGGAUUAGGAAGUUGGGGGGGUAAUGGCCUACCAAGCCGACGUUCCAUAGCUGGUUUGAGAGGAUGAUCAGCCACACAGGGACUGAGACACGGCCCAGACUCCUACGGGAGUCAGCAGUGGGGAAUCUUAGCCAAUGGGGGAGACCCUGAUCUAGCCAUGCCGCGUGAUCGAUGAAGGCCUUAGGGUUGUAAAGAUCUUUCAGUGGGGAAGAUAAUGACUGUACCCACAGAAGAAGCCCCGGCUAACUCCGUGCCAGCCGCCGCCGUAACAC